UCCUAGCUUUAUUUUUAUGCAAUUAAAGCAACUCUUUUUAGUUUACUCUACAGAAGAGCCCAAAAUGAGAGCUUUUGCUUGCCUAAGUCCAGGAGUAGACCUUCCAAUGAAUGAGAUGCUGAGCUGUCAACCAGUUUCCGACAACCCGCCCAAAUUUAUCAAAUCUGAUACUCAGCAAAAGCUCAGGUCCAAUAAAGGGACAAGAAGCUCCUUCCUUGGCCAGCUCAUUGGCAACUUCAUUAUCCUCAAUUCCUUUGUGAUGUGAUGACUUGUUAUGCACCAUUGCUUGCUGAAUGAAAGAGGAAAAGACCAAUGACAUUCGAUAACUUCUUAAUGAAAAACAGUGUCAAAUGAGGAAGAGUCUUCCUCAUCACAAAAACAAAUUAUUUACUAAAAAUAUUUUUGAUUUUCAUGAACGAUUUAUGAAUACAAGUAGAUAUUAGCAAUAAAAAAUGUUUAUAAUUAAUGUAUUGUAAUACAUGUUGCC
rnacentral:lncRNA from 1 species